UAGGGAAUCUUCGGCAAUGGGGGGAACCCUGACCGAGCAACGCCGCGUGAGUGAAGAAGGUUUUCGGAUCGUAAAGCUCUGUUGUUAAGGAAGAACGAGUGUGAGAAUGGAAAGUUCAUGCUGUGACGGUACUUAACCAGAAAGGGACGGCUAACUACGUGCCAGCAGCCGCGGUAAUACGUAGGUACCGAGCGUUGUCCGGAUUUAUUGGGCGUAAAGCGAGCGCAGGCGGUUAGAAAAGUCUGAAGUGAAAGGCAGUGGCUCAACCAUUGUAGGCUUUGGAAACUGUUUAACUUGAGGGCAGAAGUGGAGAGUGGAAUUCCAUGUGUAGCGGUGAAAUGCGUAUAUAUAUGGAGGAACACCGGUGGCGAGAGCGGCUCUCUGGUCUGUAACUGACGCUGAGGCUCGAAAGCGUGGGGAGCGAACAGG
rnacentral:rRNA from 1 species